rnacentral:misc_RNA from 1 species
GAUGAAGAACGCAGCGAAAUGCGAUAAUUAAUGUGAAUUGCAGAAUUCAGUGAAUCAUCGAGUCUUUGAACGCACAUUGCGCCCCCUGGUAUUCCGGGGGGCAUGCCUGUCCGAGCGUCAUUGCUGCCCUCAAGCACGGCUUGUGUGUUGGGCUUCCGUCCCUGGCAACGGGGACGGGCCCAAAAGGCAGUGGCGGCACCAUGUCUGGUCCUCGAGCGUAUGGGGCUUUGUCACCCGCUCCCGUAGGUCCAGCUGGCAGCUAGCCUCGCAACCAAUCUUUUUAACCAGGUUGACCUCGGAUCAGGUAGGGAUACCCACUGAACUUAAGCAUAUCAAUAAGCGGAGGA